GGGAGGUAAGAAAAACUAUAAACAGCAAUCUGCUUUAUUGUAUUGUAGUUAUGUAUGAGGCUGAGCUCGGAUUUUAUUUUUAGCCUUUUUUUCAAAAAAGAAAAAUGUAAGGCACAAAGCUUCUGAAUUUCAGAGAGAGAGAGAGAGAAAGAGAUAACUCCAAUAAUACAGCGGAUAUUUGUACAUUGGAGCAGUCACGAGGGAGACCCUUGCUUAGAUCUAAAAGAAUAUGUAUGCAGUUGCAUACUUUCUCAGCCAAACAACAUAUAAAACAACGAAACAGAUGUCUGCAACAGCAUAAAUAUUCUGCACACAAUGAUACAAGCGAAAUUGAUUGCCUUAACAGAAAAUUACACAGAAGGCUUUUGAAUUCCUCAGAAUACAAGCAACAUUGUUUUAUUAACUAUGGCCAAUCUUUACAGCUUACCAUACAUACCUACCUACCUUAAGGACCACGACCAAGCAUGCUAGCUGCUGCACAAAGUACAAGCUACAUUCAUCUCUCGCAAAUAAAAUAUACCCAGUUGUACUUUUGGAAGCCAUGGUCUCCGAAUAGCUAGCAGAUUUGAAGAACAUUAUUUGAGGGAGGUUCAAAGGAGAGGUGAGGUAAGAUAAGAUCCUCAAUCAUUUUCUUUGAAGCCAUGGCAUGAUAUUAGUCAUUGCAUCUUGGUAGGCCAAAAUUGUAACAGCUCAGGAGGGAUAGACAAGGAAGGAGAGGAUGAGUUGGGUGGCAACGGGGAAAGAAGGAGAUCAAACUCUAUAUCAGUGGAUGCUGAUAUAGGGUCUUCCACAAAAGCAAAAACAAAGAAAACAGAUAAGGUGUGAGGUCUUACAAGGUCAAGAAAAGGUCUUACAAGGUCAAGAAGAGUCUAAAGAAAAACAAACAAGUGUGGUAGAAACUAGAUGAAGAAGAAAGAUGAGAGAAGGUAGUAAAAAGCUCAGAUAGGAUAGCACCAUAUUAGAACGAAGCUCCUGCAGCUGCUGCCAGCACUCCAGGAGAAUUGUCAGCUCCAAUUUCAGAGCCACUAAUGGCUUCUUUUUGGUCACACCUCCCAAUUCUCAGAGGGUUGACCAUGGCCACCUUGCUGCUAGUCACGUGCAUGAUGAGAAACCCCUUAUAUGGACCUGCAUCAUGUAUCAUGCUCUUAUUUAGUGCAGAGAAUAAUGAAGAAGAAUGGCAGGGCCAGAAGCAGGAGCCAGCUUUAGAUUAGAUAAAAAGUAGCUAAGAGAAAAAAAAAAAAAAAAAGUAAGUAUAAAACAAUUAAAAGAAUACAAGAGAAUAUCUUCCGUUUACCAUAAAGUAAAAUAGUUGAGUCAGUCACAGAAUAAUUAUCUUAUAUAGCGUAAGCUGAGCUAGUACAAAAAAAUUACACCUUUAACAGGAAUUACACAUAUUAAAAAGGUUCAAGAUAACUGUGCAAGCUAGCUAUGACUCUAGGUGAUGCAAAUUUUAUUCUGCAAGUUCAACUCAUGCUAACAGUGGUACCUUCAACAAAAAACCCGUCUUUUGGUUUCAUCUUUGAGACCCUUUUUUCCUCUCUACACUAUUUGAAGAGCGUGAAAGGAGAGAGAAAGAGAAGCACAGAAAAAAGUGAGAGUGAGAGUGAAAGAGAGAGGGAACUUUUUGUUAUGGUAAGAUGGGAGGGAAUGGAGGAAAUGCAGAGGUUUAUAUGGAGAAAAAAAAGGAAAGAUGAGUGCAUGAGGCGGCCAGUGGGCUUUCCCAAUGGACCUGAUUGCGACAGGUCCAAGGCCCAGAAAGAUCUAAACGGACCUGUGACAUCAUCAGGGCCCAGUAUAAAGGAAAAAAAUGUUAAAUGUUGGAAAUGUAGUUUUCUUUUUGCUUUUCAACAAUUUCUGUUUCUGAUCAAAGUUAUUAUCCAAUUAUGAUGCUUUCCAUAUAAAUAUUUUUAUAAGCAGUGACAUUGCUAAAGUAGUAAAGUGGAGAACAUUAGACAGUGAAUCAGAGCAUUUUUCAGUAAAUAAUAAUAUAAACUCAUAAUAUUGUUAAAAUUAUUUUAUUGAGUGCAGAAAUCCGUACAGAAGGAGGACAAAAGGGUCUUCAGGUUUUGUGUGGGCCAUGUGGUGGCUGUAGCUGUGUCCCAGUGUUUGGUCGUGUGGUUUCCCCAAGCUACCAUUUUUCUGAGUGCAACUUCAUACUCACCAUAGCAGACUACCACUUCUAUAACCUUUUCAAUGUUUCAUAUUUCUUUAAUCACAAUUCUCACUCCAUCUUCAUGUUUCAAAUCAAUCUCCCUUUUUAAAAUUCUUAUUUUUUAAUGUAACCCAUUUAAAAAUUAUUAUAUACAUAACCAUAAUUUUUAUGAAAUUUUAAAUAUACUUUCUAAAUUUCAUUAAAUUGAUUACAUACUUUUUUAUGUAUGAUCUGACAUUUUAUUGUUAGAAGAUAUAUAAACAAAAAAAAAAAAAGAUUGUUUUGAUGUGUACUAUCUUAUAUAACUGUAUUUUGGACAAUAGGGUUCUAUAUGCUAAAUUUUAAGAUAGUUGCUAUACCGUCAAUGAAUUUUAAUAUUUAUUUAUAUCCAUAUCUAAAUCAUUAAUAUUUAAAUUUUUAAUAUAUCCAUCUAGAAUUUUGUUUGAUAUAAUACUUUUAAAUACGAUAUCAACAUGAAGUAUCUAGUUAUUCAAUACAAUAACAUAAAAAAUAUUAAAGAAAUGUGUAUACAUGAAAUUUUAGAAUCAUGAAAUUUAUAGUUAAAUAUAUUUUUAAUCGUAUAAAAUUAAAAUUUGUUUUAGUUACAUAUUUUACCUAACCAUAAAAGGUGGUUGUGAUUGAUAGAAUCCUCUAUAGUCACAAUGUAGGGUUACACAUGGUUGAAUUCAAUACAGAAAAUAAAUUUUAUAGAAGUGUUAAAAUUGAAGCAACAUCUUUUAAUCAUGAAAAAUUAUAAGUAUUAUUAUUAAACGCUAAUCAUCCGAAGACCAAGCUUGUAUUAUUGAUAAUAACAGUAGCAAAGGAACAAAAUGGUUGGUUUUGAAUAGGACACAUGUGGUGGAGUUCAAAGGUGGGUAGAAUGUAAUAUCCAGUGAGACAGGAACAUCAAAAUCCUCUAAUGAUUUCUCAUAUCGAAUAUAAGAUAUUCUGUUUCCUUUUUUAGUUUCGAUAUCUGUUGGUAUUACCACAUUUAAUAUAUUUACACAGAAUUAAGGAAGUUUAAAUAUUUUUUUAUUUCUUAUUUUUUAUUUUUUGAAAUGUUUUUUAAAGAGAAAAUCUAAUGUUUCAUAUUCUAAAAUAGAUAAUCAUAUAAAUGAUUUAUCCUUAACAAUAUUAUAUUUAUAGAUGAUUUUUUUACUAUUGAUCUUUUAAAUUGUCUUUUAACUGAAUUAAAUUUAAAGUGAGUUUAGUUUACUAACCCUUCAUUAAGUAGAGUGUGAACUCUAACAGAAUUUGGUUAUGGUAGAUGUAAUGUCAAAUCAUAUAAGAUUAUGCACCAAUUAUGUAAGGAUUUUAAUUAAUACAUUUCAAAAGUUGUUCUUAGCUUAAAUUUUAUAUUCCACAAUUUGUAUUUACAAAAUUAUUUUAACACAUUUAACCCACAAUUUAGUGCAUAUUUAUAUUUAACACAUACUUUACUUUGAUACUCAUAUAAUACUCAUACACAUGGUCAUACAUAAUCCACAAAUGAAUCAUUUACAUAAUUUAAACCAGUUAAGAACAAAGAAGAAAAGAAUACAUUACAACCUUGACUAAUUGCUAGCACACACACUUGUUAAGCGACCACAGGGUCCUCUUGCACAGUGACCCAGAUUUGUUGUGCGAAUCCACUGACAGUACCCCAGCUUCCAAACCACUCGCUCAACGACCCAGCUCGUUGAACGAAUAAAACUACCAAUAGUACUAGACCCCAACUUCUCACUUAGCGCCCUAAUUCACUAAGCGAAACCUCCAGAUAGUGGUUCAAACCCCAAUUCACUCGCUCAACGCCCUUGUUCAUUGUGCAAAUCCUCAAACAGUGUGUCAACCCUCUCAGCCACUCGCUGAGCGAAUCCACUCGCUCAAUGAGUCUGCAUAAUUCUGCAGCACAAAACUGUAGAAUUAUCUCAACCUAUCCCAAACUUACCAAUUCCAAAUAUUUUUCCCAAAUUCUAAUCCCUCUAGAUCAUGUUAUAUACCUAAUUAUACUUAACUAAGUGUGUCUAAACCUUUCUAACCUCACUCUAAAGUGCUUAUUAACCAAUUCCCACUUCAACACUUACAAAUCAUCAACCUUUGAACCCAAAUCACAUUCUACUACUUUUGGCACAGUUUAAGAGGUUCAUGGACUCUAACUAGUCCUAAAUGACCCACCUAGACUAUCUCUAACAACCAAAUGAACACCUAACACCCAAAACAGAUUUUCAUUACUCUACUUCCUCUAAACUAGUUAAAAUGAGUGUAAAUCACUUCAAUUCACUCCCACAACAGAUUUCUAAUAGUGAAAAUAUCCAAAUACAAAUUAACAUCAUUCCAAAUGGUCCAGAAAUCUCAACUCAUCAUUUCAAACUCAAAACAAUCAAAACUACACAUUUUCCGUCUACUUUUAACAUUAUUUCAGUGCAACCAGUUCAAGAAUCAUACAACCACCAAACAUGUAGACAAUUAAUUUAUCAAUUAAAUAUACGUUUAAUACCUAUUUUGGUCCCUAGAUUUGUAGGGUUUGUUCAAAGUUGUCCUCCUUUUUUCAAAAGUUCACUAACAUCCUACUUUUUCGCAAAAACAGUUUAAGUUAGUCCUUUUUUCUUACGACGUUAAAAAACUAACAGCAGAGAUGCUCUACUGGCCAAAAUUAAAUGAUUUGUCCAAGUAGUCCCAUUAGUUGGCAAAUUCAGCUAAUAAGAGACUAUUAUGUUGCAGUCCCCUUUCCACUCAAGCUUUAUCACACUUCUUCAUCUUCUUCAAUCACAUUGUAAUCAUCUUCAUCAUCAACCAAUCACACUGAAAUUCAGUUGUCAAGAAACAAAAAAAUUAAAGUGUGGGUAGAAAAACCUCCAGAGGGUGAAAACCUUAGUUCAUGAGAUUGUUGUUCUUCUGUUUCUUUGAUGCUUGAAUCAAGUGUCAACGCUAAUUGAGAAGAAGAAUCUAACGUUUGAUGAUGAGCAUUUUUGGAUUUAUUGGAGUUGUUGUUCUCUGUUUCAUUCUUCUCUGCUGUGAAAUCCAUAAUCCUACGCGGCUUCCCAAACCCUAAUCCGCUUUUCCCAAACCAUAAUCCCCUUUUCCCAAACCCCAAUCCCCUUGCACUGGAGUGGUGCUACAUCUGCAAUAUUGGAGAUGUGUUCAAGAUACCAUGACAGUAAAGGGAUUUGUCACACCAUGGAAAAUCAAAAAAUCAAAUUUGGGAAUUAUCAACAAAGGGAAGUACCAUCAUGACUCACUUGAACGUUGUCUGGCAGAAGACUUUCAGAUUUGUAGUCAAGUUUCAUACUAAAAAGAUGGGGCUGUAUGAGCAUUCAGAUAUUAUGCAGUGGGGUACUGAUCGUUUUGGCUCUGACCCUACAUACAGUCCUCGAUAUUAUUGUGACAUAAUUCAACCUAAUACUGGUGAUGUCUAUAAUAAUGGGCACUACUUCUAUAACCACUAUGCUACUCAACUUAACCAAACAGAGAAUGACGACAUCAUUGCACGAGCUCUUCAAGAACAAUUUUCACGAUUAGAUAUUUGAUGUGGGGGAUUUUGGCCAUAUGAACUUCUCCAGUAACUCAAAUGGUGUUACCUCAAAGCCAAGAGGCCAUGAAUGGACCCUGAAGGUUCAUCCAUUGCGUUACCUUCGUUCCCAAAUUGCCAAUUGAUUUUAACCUAAAACUAAUUUCAUUUAACCCUAAUCUGCGUCAUUAAAUUUUAUUUUAAAAUUGACACCUCAAUUCUCUUCAGAGUGCCACGUAAGAAUAAAACUAGACAACUAAUUCCCUUUUCGCCAACGGGACAACUCUGCCGUUAACGUUUUUAACACCGUAAGCAAAAAGGACUUACAUAAACCAUUUUUACAAAAUAUAGGACCUAGGUGAACUUUUUAGAAAAAGGAGGACAACUUUGAACAUACCCUAAAAACUAGGGACCAAAAUAGGUAUUAAACCUUAAACAUAUUAUAGCUCCCCUUACCUCAACUAAACUCUACAUAACUCAUAAAAACCACGAUAGUUCGCUUGCACCGUAAAAAAUUCUAGAAACACAUACAAAUCACCAAUUGGUUAUAGUAAACAACUCUUAAAACCUAAAUUGAGCUAGGAAUUGAAGAAAAGGAACUCUUGAUCCUUGAAAACAGAAUUUCUUUACAGGAUCAAGAACCCUAAACACCAAAGAAAAGGUUUACCACUCACUGUUUGAUUCUACAAAUUGACCAGUCGAUUUAGUAACCCUCGACGCCAAAAUCAUCUAGACACUUUCUAAUCAUUAAUCAGAUGAUUGAAAAGUAAGAAAUGUUAAAAAGAAAUGAAAAAAAGAAAAAAAAACAAUAUUUUACAAAAAUAAAAAGUAUUUAAAUAAUAAAACGAACUUUAAAAAUAUUUGUUUAUAUUAUAAAAUUAUUUUAUAAUAAAAUUACUUAAUUUCAUUAUUUUAAUGCAUCUAUCUAUAUUAAACUUUAAUUUUAUAUCACCAAUUUAAAGUUUUAUCACAAUUAUUAUCAUUUUAUAAAUAUUAUAUUCAAAAUCUUUGUACCGUAUAUUUUACUCUCAAAAGUUUUUAAGGAGUUACUCUCCACCUCCCCAAAUACUCCCUACACCUCUACAUUAUUUUUUUAAUUCCAAAGAUAUCCUCAUUAAUUUAAUUUUUAUCAUUUAAUUUUAUUUAGCCUUUUUAAAAUCCUAAAUAUCCAUGCACCCCUUCACCCCCCUUCACUUUUAUCUUAAAUAUCAGUGAGUGGUUAUACCAUAACUACAGAGAUUGGCCUAGUCUCCAUGACCCAGAUCCAAAAAUUAUCACAAUCCCAACACAAAAAAAAAAACAACCUUCAACCAAAUCCUAACACCACAACCACUACCCCGUCCUUUGGUGGAGUAGUCGUCCUUUUAAAAUAAACUAAUGUAACACUGUUAUUAUUAUAAAUUAUUUAAGCUAUAUUCACAUCCAAACAAUUAUCAAUCAUUUUUCAUGGUAUAAAAAAUUAUUAAAAUAAUAAAAAAAAAAAUACAAUACAAAACAUAAAGAAUCUUACCAAAACGUAUAAUAAAAAGUAACAAUUAUAAAAAAAAAAUAAACAAAUUAUAGUUAUUAUACGUAGAAUAUAUAAAUAAAUACAUAAAAGUAAAAUAGCAUAUCACUUAUAUGAUUCUUUUCAAAAACAUAAAAAAAAAAUUAAAUUAUAUAUGUUUACAAAAAUACAAUAACCGACGUCAUUUUCUAAAAUUCUAAAAAUCCAUUUGUUUAAUAAAAUAUUAUGAAAAACUAAAAUAAAAAUCAGUCUUAAACUGAAAAUUCUGAGAACACUUUCUUUAAAUAUGCUCCAAAAUGCGAAUGAUCCACAAAUUCACCGUAAAUAAAAAUCUACACUCUUAUUAAAAAAAAAAAAAAAAAAAAAAAAAAAAAAAAAAAACUACCCAAAUAUAUCCAUCCUAUCUUCCUUGUAAAUACUAUCACAUAUAUAACCGAACCUGAAUAACCUUAAUUAAACCAUCAAUAUCUACUUCAAAGCAAUUAACGUAUAUAAAUUAAAGCACUCUACCCUCUUUGAUUGAAAUAUUAAAAAAUUCUACUACCAAAUAAUCAGACACAAUAUUACUCAUUUGUUGCUUCUUGGAUUUAUUUUCAACAAGAUUGUUAACAAAGCUCAAAAAGUGAUUUCUUUUCCUUUUUCUUUCUUACUUUCAGAUUAGCAUUAUCUUGAGCAAUGGACAUGGUUUAGACUAUAGCAGCUGCUUCACCAUUAAACGAAAGCAAAGAAAAUAUUUCUCUGCCAAAUGGACUGAGAUCUAUCAAAAUAGAUGAAAUCAAGUAAAAUAUUUAGAAUGUUUAGCAAUGAAUCUAACAAAGUUUGACCAAUUUUACGGUUUCAGAACUACUACCUCAGAAUCCUAUGGUAAUAAUUACUACAAUGUAGACUGGAGUAUUACACAGGCUAUCCAUUUGACAAAUCCUAGACAAUGUAGACUGGAGUAUUACACAGGCUAUCAAUUUGACAAUCUGCACACUGCAAGAACAAACUUCACAACAGCAACUCUAACAAAAAGAAAAAGAAAAACUUAAAAUUACCUUAAUAACAUUUUAUACUCCAGCUUAUUGAAAGAAAAUUGGAUUAAGAGACAUUUCAUUACUUCCCAAAAAUAUGCAGACCCAAGCAUCCAACUUUUAUAUUCAUCAGUUUUGCAACUGGCUAGCAAGGAGUUUCUUGUAAGUCAUGAAGAAUUCAUUGACCUCUUACUUUGAGAGCAAAAUAUGAAAGUCUCUAGAUCGUUCUUGGUAAUCUAGCUAUGUUUAGCAUCACCCCAGAAAAUGGUAAUACGAGUUGAAACAGGAUGCUCAGUAAAUAGGUAUGACCAACCUAGUCGCGUAUUUCUAUAGACGAAAGAUGAAAAACCUUAUAUACACGCAACUGCAAUCAUUUUAUUUACCCUGUUAUAUUCUGGAAUAGUGAUAAGUCAGCAACCGAAGAAUAAUAUUGAAUGUAUACCGAAAAAUUAUAUUGAAAGCACUCUUUGAAAAACAGGUUUAUAACAGAUACAGAAAAGAAAAAAUUAUUCAUGAGUUGAUUUCAAAUUAUGCCUACUGAGACCUCGGAAGAAAUCAGGGUCGAACCAGCAUGUGCAGGCUUUCUCCAAUCCAUUCUUGGCAGCUUCCUUCUUCUCAACGAUGUUCUUGUAAAGUUUAACCCAUCUGUACAUGGCUCGCUUCAAUCGAGCACUCUGGCCUCUACCAGAAGCAAACUUGACGCAGUCCCUAGCUAGCUUUAUAAGUUCUAAGCCAUUGAUGACAAAAAUAUACUGGAAAAAGAAGUAGGGUAUUAUAAAAUGGAACAUGGCACAACCAUCCUACCAAUAUUGUUAAUCAUCUAAUCAUAUCUAAGAAGGUAGUCAAAUAUCAUCACCAAUCUUGCAUAUAAGUAUAUUUCAAGCUCAACCACCUCAUGCAUUCUAAAUAACUCAGAAAAAGUACACACAAAAUUAUAUUAACAGACACCAUUUACCACCGUUAUUAUCUUAGGAACUUCUUAGGAAUGUCGCUUUGGUUUCCUUCAUUUUUCACACAAUUAAAAAAAUCUUAGACUAAAUGAAUAAGUAGACACGCACAAUUCAUGCUACGAGAGAACUUACCAUUAUUACAAAGCAAACGGUUGCUAAAACAACUUGAAGAUUUUCGUUUGACAUCCCAUCUGAUCCCCCAGAACUGUCGCCAUCUCCGCCACCACCGCCACGGCGUCCUCCAGGAGGUACGUCUCCACUGCCUCCCUUCUGCAUUUGCUGUCGUAAUAUAUCCUCUAUAGACUGCCCCUUAAAUUGUUCGAUAGCUUCUUGAAGAGAUUUGUUCUGGAAAUCCUGAUUAUGUUUCUAGUAUUUAGUAACUAAAGAACAAAUCAAAUACAAAAUACAAAAACCCCAUAUAAUAUAUAUGAAGAGCAUACACAGAACGCCAACUCCUCUAUUCACACAUUGGAACUCCUCGGUUGAAACAUGUUGCAAAGGUUCACUCUAGGAAGAAAACUAGAGCUAUACAACAAAAAAAAAGUUUUUCAGUCAAAAAUUGGCCACACAAAAACAUACUGGCCGCUUUUCUCUACCUAAAAAACAAACAUAUCCAUAAACUAAAAUCUGUUCAUGCAUUAAUUAAAAACAAUUUUUGGAGCAACAAAUAUCAAAAGGCUUCCACAAUUUUUUAUCAAAAAGUUAUUUUCAUUUUAUCCAUCUAAUUUGUAUCUUCUAUGAAUAUUUCUGAAGAAGUACAGCUGAACAAACACAGUAACAAUAAAAACUCUCACAGGAUGCAAGAUACUUUUGACAUCUUUAGCAAUAUCAAGUUUUCUGAAGGAGCAUCUAACUGGAAAAAAAAAAAAAUCAAUAACUAGCAAUGUAAAAGAAAAAAAAAAAAAGUGUAUUCUUACCCCAUUAUUUUCCAUCAUUCCUUGUCCACCGGCCAAACAUAUAUGAAGAGGUUGGCGAGAUAUGAGGACAGGUUGGCAUUGAGAGCGAGAUAGAGAUUUAGGUCUGAGGCAAAGGGAAGUAACAUAGAGAGGGUCAAAAGCCACCCGCGAUGAACAUGCUCCAGAAUUAAAAUCGCGGCCCAAAUGAGACAAGUUGGGGGCAUGAACCCCACGAACACGUGGACCAGGACCAACUUUGAUGAUGUUCAUUCUCACCAAACAGAACCAGCACUUCAAAAAAAUUCACGCAUUACACAUACCUGAAAACAAACCUUGUUUUAAGAUAGAUUAUUGAACCUGAAAAUAAAAACAUGCAUGUUCGAAUUGAAUGAAAAAAUAUGCUGCUAGCAAGAAAUAAUCAAGAAUUGAUUAACAGAAUGAAGCAUUAGAAGGAAAUUGAGAAGGUAAUAAAUGGAUAAAAUGAAAAGAAAUGACUCACCCAUGGAAGGGUUAGACGAUGCAAUCAAGAAGGAUUUGAAAUGUGUCUUCUCCCAACUAUGGAUCAAAAGGUGGAUUCUUCUGCAAUUUAGCUAGGGCUGUGUUAAGGGCGGUGCCCACAGAGAAGAAAAGAGGGUUCUAGAGUCUUUCGCUUUUGCUCUUGCUCGUGGAUGGAUUCUUUUUAAUAUCAAACUCCAGCCGUUGGAUUGAAUUUUAGUCUAAGGAUCUCUCUGCAAAAAUAGUUUCUAUAGAGGGAGUGGAGAAAUUUAUGAAAUUUUCAGCGUAUCUUGGAUACAUCUGAUGGAUCAUAUCAAAAAUUGAAAAUCAGCAAAGACCAAACAUGUUCUAACCCUUAGAUCCAUCUCACGGUUGAAAAAUUAAAAGUUAAUUGUUUCAUUUUACUAAAUAUAUGUUUGAUACCAUUAUUAGGGGAAAGAAAUAGGUAAAAUUUAAAAGUAAAUAUAUUUAACAAGAUUAUUAGAAGAAAGAGAUAAGUCAGGUUGAAGUUUUUAGAGAAAUUCAAAAGUUAUUCAAAAGAAAAUAUCAAAAAUCUAUUUUCAAAUCAAGGUAAAAUAAGUAAAUAUAUAAAUAGAAUUAGAAAAAAUAAAGUGAAAUUUAUUUUUUAAAACUAGAUUGUCAAUUUUAAUUUACAAAUAAUUUAUGAUAGGGUGUAUUUAUGCUAUAAAUAUACUAUAACUUUUAUAAAUAAAUUUUAAUUUUUUUUAUUUUGAUUAUAAUAAUGUGAUUUUUAAACUUAAUGUUUGAUUAGGAAAUCAAGAUUAUGAUAUUAAACAGUGCUUGUGAUCAAGGAUAAAAACCAUUUAAUUUAUUAUGAAAAGAAAAAAUAAUACAUCAGUGGUCAAAUAAGCAUAUUGAUCAAUUUUAUCAAAAGAUUCUGAGAAUCAACAGUGUUUUUCUUAUUUUAUUUACUAGUUUUAAUAAUUAAGUAAAUUUUUUUUAGUGGUAGAUAAACUUUCACGUGUCAUUCUAAACCAUUACGAUUUCAACCAAAUUCACAAAUAAGUCAGAUGGAAAUAUAUCGGUAUAAUCAAUUAAUCAAUAUAAAUUAUGCAAAUUAUAAUAAAUAAAGAAAUAACGUUCAAAUAUAUAAUUUGUUUUGAAUUAUAAUUAGUUUAAUUUUUUUUUAAAUUGAAUUUCUUCACCAUUUCGGUUAGAAAUAAUAAUGGAAAUUGUGUAUGCAUUUAAGUUGAAUAUAAGAAAAAAAAUGUUAUUAAUAUAAAUAAUUGACAUUGAUGAUAUUUUCUUUUAAUAAAUUUGUGAACUACUUCAUUUUAUUAUAAAAUUAUCAAUAUAGUUUAUAUAGUUUAUAUGAAGGAUUUUGUCAUGUUUCAAAUCAGCCUUAUUCCAUUUUUUAAGUGUCCCAAAAUACGUUAAUAAAAUAAGAUAAAUAGAUAAUCAAUGAAUUAAGUGAAAAAAUUAUUUUGGUUGUAAGUUCAAAUAGAGUAUUCAAAUGAACUUUGGAUGUGUUCUUAAUUUUCUUUUAAUAUUUUAUAUUUGUAUAUUGAUAUCACUUUUAUUAUUAUCAAAUGUUUGAAUAAAAGAUUUGAGAAAAUAUUUUGAAAAAUUAUGGUUUACUGUAAAAAAAAAAGUUCAACUUUUAUUUAAAGUUAAUGUCAUGUAUUAAUUACUAUGUUUUACAUUAUUAAUCUAUUUUGUUUCAGUUAUUAAUCCAACUGAACUAGUUUUACAUUAUUUAUCUAUUUUGUUUUUUUUCAAACAUUCUUUACUUUUAAUUUUUAUUAUUUUAUUAUAUUAUAUAUCUUAUUAUUUUAACAUAUUAUGCUAAUCAUUUUUUUAUUAUAUUAUAUUAUAUUAUAUAUAAUAAUUUAUAUUAUGUUAACUGUAUAAUGUAAAAUUAUUAUACACUAUUUUGUAUAAUAAUAUAUAAUUACAAUACAUGGAGCUUUCUGCUUUGGGCAUUUUCAAAGCAGAUUGUAAUGCUUUCUUAAUCCCAUUUUCUUCUAAUUGACUUUUGCAGCGAUUCUCCAUUCCUCCUCGCUGCGGCGAUUAUGGCUUCUGUUGCGAGCCAAAACCGUUUGUUCAGAUCAAGACGACAGCCGCUGCACCGGAGUUACCACUCCAGCAUCCAAAGCUGGCUCGAAGCAGCAAGCACCUUUCCGGCAACCAUGCAGCUCCUCCAAACCUGCCCAAUCGAACUUUACAAAAUCUCGUCUAGAAGACUAAUGUUUCGGUAGUGUUGUUUUGCAUUUGUUUUAUUUUGGCUUGAAAUUUCUUAUUGCGGUGUAUAUUUUGACAACUUGAUGCAGAGCAUUUUUUGGAUUCAAUUAAGUUCUUCUAUUGAUUCUAAUUUCAUUCAUCGAAUUGGUUAGUGAUGGUUUUGGAUUGACUUUUGGCAAGAUCCAAAUGUCUUUAGUGUCACAAGUGAAAAUUCUAAUUUUGUAAUUUUAUUAUUAUUAUUUUUUAAUUAUUUUCAUUUUCUAAAUAUAAACAAUCCCUUUUUUUAUUAUCUUUUUCUUAAUUUUCAUUCUGUUGUCUAACUGAAAAAAUCCAUAAAAAUUUGCACCGCUGAUGCACUAUCAUGUAAUUAUUUAACAAAAAUAAAAUCACACGGCCUCCUUGACAUAUUAGUUUGUAUACUAAUUGCACAACUGAGAAUUGUUUACUGAUGUCAAAUUUGUUAUAGGUCCUGCGUUACAAAGUGUCUCAGUUGCUGGAAUGAUGCUGAGAACAAAGUUUCAACCAUCUGUUUUUUUGUUGAUGUUAUCCCCUUAGUCUCCAAAAGGGUCAUGGAAUGAUGCUGAAAAAAAAGUAAGAGGUAAUGAAGGAGCCAUGUUCGCAUGUAAGCUAAAGGUGGAAAAAGGCUUGACCAAGAUGGGGCCAAGGGUGGUAGUACCUAAUGCCAAAUCACCUCAAAAGGAAUACGUGAAGCAUAUUGUCACUGUAACGUAAUUCAAGCUCAGCCUUUACGUUGUCGCUCUCUCAUUCCCACAAAAAUGAAAAACAGGGCCCCAUUGGUAGGGUGAGGAUAAAUAGUUACUAACUCAAGCCUUAGGGAAAGGCAUUUAACUUUUCAAUGUCCAUUCAUAGACAUCAUCAUUUUGUGUCACAAGUCACCUACCUUUGAUCCCUUUUGGGCACAUAAAAUAUGUAUACAAACCCUUUUUCUUAUACCUUUACUGUCUUCUUUACCUUCCACACUUUCAUAUAAAUCCAUCCCAGUCAAACCUUUCAUUGAUUCCGUCGGAUUCAAUCAAGAUUUUAUCUUUACAUUCAUUUUCUUCGUCUGCCUUUCAUGCAAGUAUAAUGCCUCUUCAGUUCUAUAUCAAAAUUUAUAGUUCACAAAUCUCAUUUAUUGCUGUAUACUAUUUUUCCACUCUACUUCUACACCCUACAGACCUAUAUAGAGAAAAUUCCUAUUUAUGCCCUAUUUUAAAUUAUGGUCGCAGUUGCGGCUAUGUUUUAAUUAGUAAAAUCGAAAAAAAAAAGUAUAAAAAGAAGUACAUAAAAGUUGAUGUAGUACAUCUGUAAUUAAAAACCUGAAAAACCAGAAUAGAUUAUUAAAGUCAAAGUAUGCAGGUGAAUUGGAUUUGUAGGCAAAAGGUUUCCGUAGUUGAUGUGUCACAAUUUCUUUCUUUCUUUCCCUAGACUUGCAUAACCAUCACACACAUCGUAUCAAUACACAAAAUUUUAUGCAUCCGUUUUGGAAUAUACUGCAUACAGUAUGUAUACAGAGAAAAAUCUUUGUCUACUCUGUUAGCUUGGUCUACCACGUGAUUGAUGGAAACAAUAUGUUAGACAUCUGAAAUGGAAUAUGGUUAAAAACACAUAAAUUCCACCCCACCCUCUUGUUUUUUUUAUGAUGCCAGACAUGUUUGAUAUGUUGCUGUGUAGAAAAUGAAUUGAAGGAGAAAGUGGUAAUUUGAGAAGUAUUAUUCUUCACUAUUUGAGGGUGGUAGGUGUGUGUGGCAGCCCCAUCAAAAACAUUGGGAUGUGUAAUAUUCCUUAUGGGCUCAGGUUGUAUUCUAUCCCAAAGUGCUUGUCCUUCCCCUGCCAUGUGAAAGGAAUGGCUGAAGCACCCUUCCAAAUCAAGAGAGCUAAAGGGAAAUUGGGUUUUCAGAGUCAAAUUUGCUGUCAUCUCACUUGCUACGAAAGUUAUCACACUUUCACACUUGGUGGUGUGCUCUAUGUAGUAGAUAAUUGAACAUUUGCAUUUCAAAUUACACUAUAAGAAUGAAAAGAGAGAAAGAAAGGUCUAGUACUAAGCAAGAGUAGGGUGAUUCAUUCUUCUACUUGAUGUGAUUCAAUUGGAGAGAGUGUGUGACUUUAAUGUCUUUCAGUUCUCUGUAUUGGAUGGAGAGAUGGGGGCUCUAGCAGCCUAGGACACAUGUAGUGCCAAAUUGAGCUCACUCAUGACAUUUAUCUUACUUAUUUUGCAUAAAAGAAAAAAAUCAAAUCAUUAAGAUAAGGACCACGACCAAGUAUGCUAGCAGCUGCACAAACUACAAGCUACAUUGAUUUCUCACAGGUAAAAGAACAACAAAAUAAAAUAUACCCAGAUUGUACUUCUGGAAACCAUGGUCUCCGAAUAGCUAGCAGAUUUGAAGAACCCCCAUUUAGCGAGGUUCUUUGAAGCCAUGACAUGAUAUUAGUUGUUGCAUCUUGGUAGGCAAAAAAUGUAACAGCUCAGGAGGGAUAGAGAAGGAAGGAGAGGAUGAAUUGGGUGGCAACGGGGAAAGGAGGAGAUCAAACUCUAUAUCAGUGGUUUGUGAUAUAGAGUUUUCCAUAUAAGCAAAAACAAAGAAAAUAGAUAGGGUGUGAGGUCUUACAAGGUCAAGAAAAGGCCUUACAAGGUCAAGAAGAGUCCAAGAAAAAACAAAAAAAGUGUGACGAAGAAGGAAGAAGAAAGAAGGUAGUAAAAGCUCAGAUAGGAUAGCACCAGAUUAGAGUGAAGCUCCUGCUGCUGCUGCCACCAAUCCAGGAGAAUUGUCAGCUCCAAUUUCAGAGCCACUAAUGGCUUCUUUUUGGUCACAUCUCCCAAUUCUCAGAGGGUUGACCAUGGCUACCUUGCUGCUAGUCACGUGCAUGAUGAGAAAACCCUUAUG
rnacentral:lncRNA from 1 species